GGACUAUGACUUGUUGGGUGAAUGGUCUCCGUUCGUCCUAAUUAAUGGCAGCUUUUGCCUUGCCGACCAUCCCGAUAUAUCACCACCCGUAUUCUAAGUUC